CAUCUCGGGAAAGAUCACUGUCGGGAGGCCUGGAGUUGAAGGGGUCUAGAACACCACCCCCCCCCCAACCUGCAACACCCCCAAGAAAGGCAAUCUAGUUGUGCAACGGCGGAAGAAAAUGUAAUCAGCUUCGGAGGGCGUCAGAGUUGCAGAUAACGGGCUGUACCAAGCUCUAGGUUAUGGAAGGGAGACGAGGCAACACUCCCGAUUCCUAAGGUCAAUCCAAAAUGACUGGAUGCCCCAGAGCUUGCCUGUUCUGGGUUAUUGGUCCAUCAGAAAUGAGUGGAAGGACCCAAGGACACUGAUUCACGCUAGAGAAGCUGCGGUUUACAGACUCAUCCUUCGUUGUUGCCAUUGUGACUGCAGAACCACUACAUGCUGUAGCAGCCCCUUCCACCCUCUGGGUUGAGGUCUACCACAGCAGAAUGCGGGGCGCGGCGAGCGGGGCGUGGAUGCAGCAGGACGAGCAGGAGGCACAGAGGGAUCAAAGUGAAGAGAGCAGAGUGGAGGGAGCUGAAAGGGUUGGCAGAGAAGGAGGAGGCUUUAAGGUGAGAUUUGAAGACCUGGAGAGAGGGCGGAUUUGCGGAUAUCAGAAGGAAGGGGAUUGCGAAGACGGGGAGCCACCCUGGAGAAGCUGUGGCGUCCAGAAAGGAACAGCAAGGAGGCCUGAAGAUCUAGAGCACAAGGGGGUUUUAGCGCAGCAGAAGAUCAGGCAGCUAGUGCAGUUCCUCCACGCUUUCUGUCCGGUCACCCCGGAGGCAGAGUUGCGACCGAGGUCACCAGCCCAAACUGGCGUUUCUGUUGCUGCCUGGACUCCGACACCGACAAUGUGCUCCGUGCCAGGCAGAGAUCUGAGACACGGUUACCUGUAGACACCAACUGCUUUCUGGCUUCCCACAGAUCCUCAGCAGUUGUAUUGUCUUUCAGCUUGUCUCUGAUCCAUUUUCACACUUGGAGGUGAAUCUUCUCGCCCUUUUUCACUUAUAUAGAGACACUUUCCCAAGCACAUGAACCGAUGUACAGUGAGUUCACACUCCUCUGUUGCAACACAACCUGCAGUGUUUUUAAACCCCAGCGCCAACCUGCUAUCACAACUUUUAAUCCUUUUUUUUCCCCCUUCUCCUGGAUGUUAUUGUCUCCCUUACCUACACUGCUAGACUAAACAGAGUUUUAAUUAUCACAGGUGACGUUCAGCUUGU